AACCUUGUUAGGUGAGGCUCCUGUAUCAGAGAUACGCUGCUGCCCAGAAACGUCGAAAGACGCCAAUGGGUUACCAGGAAUUUUCGAAUUAAGGGAAUUCUUAAUGUAGCUGGUUGAUCCUAUGCUAUACAGUGCCAAAACUAAACGAAGAGG
rnacentral:sRNA from 1 species